UACAGAGGUCUCAAGCGUUGUUCGGAUUCAUUGGGCGUAAAGCGUGUGUAGGUGGCGCGCUAAGUCGGGUGUGAAAUUUCGGAGCUUAACUCCGAAACUGCAUUCGAUACUGGCGUGCUUGAGGACUGGAGAGGAGACUGGAAUUUACGGUGUAGCAGUGAAAUGCGUAGGUAUCGUAAGGAAGACCAGUGGCGAAGGCGGGUCUCUGGACAGUUCCUGACACUGAGACACGAAGGCCAGGGGAGCAAACGGG
rnacentral:rRNA from 1 species